rnacentral:rRNA from 1 species
CACGAGUUUGAUCAUGGCUCAGAACGAACGCUGGCGGCAUGCCUAACACAUGCAAGUCGAACGAACAUCUUCGGGUGUUAGUGGCGCACGGGUGAGUAACGCGUGGGAACCUGCCUUAUGGUACGGGAUAACGUCGGGAAACUGACGCUAAUACCGGAUAAUGUCUUCGGACCAAAGAUUUAUCGCCUUUAGAUGGGCCCGCGUUGGAUUAGCUAGUUGGUGGGGUAAAGGCCUACCAAGGCGACGAUCCAUAGCUGGUCUGAGAGGAUGAUCAGCCACACUGGGACUGAGACACGGCCCAGACUCCUACGGGAGGCAGCAGUGGGGAAUAUUGGACAAUGGGCGCAAGCCUGAUCCAGCCAUGCCGCGUGAGUGACGAAGGUCUUCGGAUUGUAAAGCUCUUUUGGCGGGGACGAUAAUGACGGUACCCGCAGAAUAAGCCCCGGCUAACUUCGUG